GAGCAGAGACGGAGGCCACUGGGCACAGGAGAGAUUUGGGAUGGAGAGCUGGUGAGCCUUUCUCUGUUCUCCACAUCUGAAAGUCUGGCUUUAGGCACAAUAUUUAUGAACUUUAGCAAUAUGCACAAAUCAAAUGAGCUGAAAAAUCAGACCAGGCAGAUAAAAGUAAAAUCAUCUUACUGAAAUUCCUGGAAACAACAGUUUCAGCCAUUUGACAUUAUCCUACCAAAAGCUAAAAAUCUAUUCUGAAGAAAGAAGACUUGCAGCAGCUUCAAAAUCUCAAACAUCUGUUGUUGUAUCACAAGGAAACUGAAAUCUUUCACGGGCAAAGUCAUGAGAUAAAGAAAAAGGAUCAAAAUAGCCAAAAAAAAAGAUAAACUAGAAGAUUUGGUGCCCAGCAUGAAGAAUAGUUCCUUUCAAGUACCUGUAUGUCCUGAAUGUAUUCCUUCCAGUGGGUUCUUGGUCUCGCUGACUUCAAGAAUGAAGCCUUGGACCCUCGUGAUAUGUGCUCACCCUUCUCUGCUCAGCUCUGUGCCUGGGAGGCUGACCUCUACAAACUGCAUCACCAGGCUUCCGCCCUCUGGCUUCCAGAUGGAUUUGGCCAAUGGGCAGCACCAGUGGGAAAGGAGAGGACAGGAGGAGAGACAGGCUGAGGCCUCCCUCCUCCUGUGUCCCUGACAUACAGUGACAGUGCUGCCCUGCAGCUCAGGAUGGAUGCAGUCAAGGACGACAGCGCAUGUCCAAAAAAGCUGUCUGCUGAACAUUUGCCCAGCAGAUUUUAGAAAGAAAGGAAACAUCUUAGUGAUUUUCUUGCCUCCAGAAGAUUCCCUGAUCCAAUCUUUCCUUGGCACAAACUUUUAGUUAUUGUGUUUACAUAUACAUUUUAUAUAUGUGUGGUCAUUAUUGUAUCUGUUUUAUUUGGGGACUUUAUCUUGAUGUGUGUUAUACCUAAUACACUGCAAUAUAAAUUAUGUAA
rnacentral:lncRNA from 1 species